rnacentral:rRNA from 1 species
AUUGAACGCUGGCGGCAUGCCUUACACAUGCAAGUCGAACGGCAGCACGGGUGCUUGCACCUGGUGGCGAGUGGCGAACGGGUGAGUAAUACAUCGGAACAUGUCCUGUAGUGGGGGAUAGCCCGGCGAAAGCCGGAUUAAUACCGCAUACGAUCCACGGAUGAAAGCGGGGGACCUUCGGGCCUCGCGCUAUAGGGUUGGCCGAUGGCUGAUUAGCUAGUUGGUGGGGUAAAGGCCUACCAAGGCGACGAUCAGUAGCUGGUCUGAGAGGACGACCAGCCACACUGGGACUGAGACACGGCCCAGACUCCUACGGGAGGCAGCAGUGGGGAAUUUUGGACAAUGGGCGAAAGCCUGAUCCAGCAAUGCCGCGUGUGUGAAGAAGGCCUUCGGGUUGUAAAGCACUUUUGUCCGGAAAGAGAUCCUUGGCUCUAAUACAGUCGGGGGAUGACGGUACCGGAAGAAUAAGCACCGGCUAACUACGUG